rnacentral:rRNA from 1 species
GUGUCAGCAGCCGCGGUAAUACGAAGGGGGCUAGCGUUGUUCGGAAUUACUGGGCGUAAAGCGCACGUAGGCGGACAUUUAAGUCAGGGGUGAAAUCCCGGGGCUCAACCCCGGAACUGCCUUUGAUACUGGGUGUCUUGAGUGUGGUAGAGGUGAGUGGAAUUGCGAGUGUAGAGGUGAAAUUCGUAGAUAUUCGCAGGAACACCAGUGGCGAAGGCGGCUCACUGGACCACAACUGACGCUGAGGUGCGAAAGCGUGGGGAGCAAACAGGAUUAGAUACCCCUGUAGUCC